CUCAGAGACGGUGCCAGGGAGGACCUGGUGAGGAGGCACCUGGCCAGCUUCCUAGAGCUGUCCCACCAGUCAUCCUGCCAGCGGGAGGCGGGUUGGCAGCCCUGGGGCCACCCGGCAGCCCCGAACCCCUGGAGGCAACCCUAGUACUUCUUGGCUCUUGCCCUCCCACCUGUCGCAUCCACUAUGACACUCAUGGCCUCAGGCACUCUGCCGAGCACUGCGGAGGCCAUCCGCAUAGUGUCAGCCUCGCACCUGGAGGAGGUGCGGGCUGUGCUGGAGCCCUUGGGCCGCACCAGAUUCCUGAGAUCUGCCUCCAUGUCCCCAGGCAGCCAGGCAGAUGGCCAUGCACUCCCGGGAGCAGAUCGGGCCCUGGGUGGAGAGCAUCGUCUCCAGGAUGGUGGUGUACUACUUCUCCUGCAGCAGCUAUGGGAGCCCUGCUGGGUCCCGGGCGGACGGGCGCUUGGGGGUGGGCACACUGUGCGUGUGUGUGCAUGUGCAUGGACGGACACCAGGCCAAUAUCUCUUCAUGUUUAGUCAGCAAGUCCCACCUCCUUGGCCUGUCAGGUGGAUUUUUCAGGUGACACCUGGAGAGCAGGGCCUGUUGGGAGGUCAGUUAUAAAAAUGGGGUAUAUGGGCCAUUUUGGGUGGAACCUGGAGUCUGAGGUUUCACUUGUCAUGGUUUUGUAUUUAAGAGAUGGAAAAUCCUAGUCCUAAUCAGAGACUGACCUCUGACCCUGGCCACACCCUGACACUGACCCUGUCCCUGACCUGAUCCCCAUCCAGACCUCAGAAUAAUCUCUCAGACCAUCACUCUCACACAAAUGCCACUGAAUGUGAAAGGACGGGUCACUGCAAAUGACCCCACGGAGGGCCUGUGGCCUCUUAAGCCAGCCAGAGUGUGCAGGGGGCCGUGCUGUGUGGCCGCUGUACGUGAGGGCACAUUGCCUGUGCCUCGUGGGCUGCGUGUGUGACGCAGCUACGGCUGUAGGUUCAUCCCGUGCUCUGCGGGCUGUCACUGUGUGUGCUGUGUUGCGUGUGUGUGCUGUCUGCUCCCCAUGGUGGGCACACAGGCUGUGUGGUGGGGUGUCCUGACUGCACGGACAGGACCAUGUCCUAAAGACAAGCUUCCUGUCCACUGGCUCCAUGCCCGUGAAGACACUCAGGCAGGAGAGCAGCCCCCGGGGCCACAGGCUCACUCAGAUCCCAGAGCUCACUCAGUGUCUCCUGGUGAGUGACCCCCAGCCUUCCCAGUGGGGGUGCAGGGACUGCAGCGGUCAGGGGCCAGGGGCAGGCCAUCGCCGAGGCUCCUGCUUUGUCCUCCCAGGACACACUGCAGAGGGACCCCAACUUCCUGGCCAACCUCUUCCGGCAGAUCAUACUGGUCAUCGUGGGACUCAGGUACCUCUUCCUUGGGGGUCCAGGAAUGGACACAGGCCGGUCCUCUGAGGGUGGGGUGGGCGACAUGUGAGCAGAUGAUGGAAUGAAUGAGGCCCGAGGGCGGGGCUGGAUCAGGACUAACCGAGACCGGGCUGGCUGGGUUGGGGCCGCCUUUGGUCAGAGGCAGGGUGAUUCACCUUGCUUCUCAUCUGAGACAGGUUGUUAACGCUAGUCACACCCUGACCCUGACCCUGGUCACA